AAAAGUACGACUACCUGCAGCUGGUGAUCCUCUAUCACAGCGACUCGUCGGGUAGGGCUCUAGCUCGCAACGCCCUUACCACGAUCAGCCUCAGAAAGUGCAGCAGCCGGAACCGGUGGCUCUGCAAAAUAGUGGUAACAACUGGGCGUGAGAACUACUGUAAAAAUAAGUAGUCCUUAGUGGGUACCGCCCAAAACAAUAUCGGUCCACCCACUAAGUCUGCAGAAGGGAGCAAGAAUAGUAGUAAAUGCAGAAAUAAAAUCUACCGCUAUCAAACACUAUACUAUCAUGCUCUACACUAAUCAACUGUAAGAAAUGUCCAAUCUGACCCAAUCCAAUCGGGACUGUAGACAUACCCGUCCCUGGGACUGUGAACACACCCGUCCCUGCCUAGUUGCGACUAUCCAGCUCUAUCCACACUAACUGGUCCGUGGAGAGUAAGUCCAACCGGCAUGAGUGACACCAACGCGAAAGCACAAAGCCUGACUCCGGAGUGGCACUCGUGGGCGCUACCCAACCGAGUAUGCAGCGUAUCUCUGUCGAGCUCAAUCAGGCUCCAACUAGCCAAAGUCAAGUGAACAGGGUCAAAACAGGUCUACAAACCAAACCCACGUGCCCUCGGCACAAUCUGUGACCAAAACAAGAAUCUGGGUCCACUGCUAACCCGAACGGCACCCAACAACCCGAAACAGCCUAAAUUCUGCUGAAGAAAAAUAAGCUCGGCACCCCAGCACGAACGUAAAUGCCUUCUAAACUACCCCAGGUAUCCAUCGCACUGAUACUGCAACGAUACAAUCGAAUCACGGCUCCUAGAGCUAAAUCUGGUAGUUUAAGCAUAUGACGGGUCAAAACGCAGGUUUUCUCCUAAGUCAAAUUUCAAGUCCAACAUGUAUAAUAUAAAUAUUCAUUUCAGCAUGCUUCUACAUUCAUAUUAUAUUCGAGAUGCUUAUCGAUGAAUUAAAGCAUGAUAUAUAAGAAUCGAACUAUACACGUCGACUAAACAUGCACUUAGGAGCGAAACCGAUGAUACACCCACCUCAAACGCUAAUCCACAACAGCGAGAAGUCAAUAGGAGAAGAAAUUCCGCGCUCGCCCGGCCUCCAACGGCGCUACUACGACGCACGCACUUGACUCGCUCGCUCGCCUUGCUCGCUCGCACGAACGAACCGAAUGCUACCCUGCUAAUUAAUUACCUCACAACUUGGCAAUAUAUAUAAAAGAAAAAAAACAAAAAGAGAGGAUGAGGAUAGAGAAUGGAGGACCACGUGGACUCCACCGACUAAGUAAAAACAAUAGCCCAUAAGCCCCUAUACAACUAUAUUUUCCACUUUAGUCCUCUACAAUAAAAAUCUUGAGUUUCAAAGUCCGUUGUUACGUCUACUUUGCGCAAAACAUCUCCAACUCAAAGCCAAGGGUACUACACUAACCCGAACCCAAAAACCCUAAUCUAAAAUAUUAUUCCUCUUUACAAUAUUUCAAAAUAUAUUCCUAAUUAAUUAUCCACAAUCAAAUUUUUUUUAAAGAGUAAUACAAAAUUAUUGUCUAAACUAGAAAAAUUU
rnacentral:lncRNA from 1 species